AGACUCAACACAGAAGGCGGUGAAAGAACUCGUCGGUUCCCCCGAUUUCAGCAGAUGGGUUGCUGCAAACGCUGAUCGAAUCUCUGUAACUCCAAAGUCCUCGCGGAAGGAGGCUCCUCCGUGUCGGAAGUGGCUCUACUUCUUCUGAUUUUGUGUUGCUCUGUAGAGUUGUACGUUGUUUUGACUUAGAGUGGUGGGAUUUUUUAGUGGUCUUAGUUUGCAGCAGAAAGGCAAAGUAGCAGGGUUAGCUUUGUAGAGAGAAUGUAGCUUGGAGCUUACACUUCCAUGGAGAUUUGUUGUAUUGGUUUAACUCUUGAGGAAUGUAAUUGAAUGUAAAGUAGAGAUUGAAUUCAGAUACAGAGUCAGAAUGAUCUGUAAUUUUCUACGUAGAAAUUUGGCAACUUUGUGUUCAUAAUCAUAAUUUCAGGUUUUUUCAGUUAGCUGGGUCAAUUUUGGCGGAGAGAACUAGAAAAAUACUAGUACUGUAGUGUAAUUUGUCAGUUUCCCAGGAAAAAACUCCCGCCGCCGACAUCUUUCCUUUCUCCCCAACGUCAAAAGUUCCGAACUCCCAUGGUGGCUGAUCAUCCUUAAUCCCUACCUACCCCAUUUUUCUCCAUUACAUUUUCCCUCUUUCCUUUCCGGCCAACUGAAAAAAUCCUCUCGAUGACCACUCUUAUCCCGCUGCUGCAUUCAGUUUCUCCUCAGACCCAUCUCCGCCGCUCAAUCCUCAACUCAUUCUUCCCUCAACGCAUCGUUUCGCGGUUUGACUUGGCGGUGAGUCGUCUAUCAAAGC
rnacentral:lncRNA from 1 species